GAAGGACGCGUGUGCCCGCGGCGCGGCCCCGAGGCGUGUGCGCGGCCAUGUGCGGUUAGCGUGGCGCGCUCUGUCCUCCUUUUCCCGGCCGCGACCCUCUGAGCCCCUCGAGUCCGGGUAACCAAGCAGCCAGCGCCGGCUCGCCGGGACCCGCCACCCUGGAAGCCCCGCGCCCGCAGCGCGUUCCUGGCGAGUCGGAGGCAGGGUAAAGUGAACAGAGUUAUCUGUGACAUUCCAUCAGGCACCUACGUAAGGAAGUCGUACUGUAAUAACUCGCCAUGGCGUAUGGAUUGCCAAGAAAGAACACAGUGAAAACCAUUUUGCGGGGUAGUUGUUAUAAUGUACAGGAACCUUGGGAUCUUGCACUGCUUGCAAAGAACUGGUACACAAACCUAGCCAAUAUCAAGUUGCCUUUCUUGGAAGAAAUUUCAUUUGGUGGUUCUGUGCAGCUCACAAAAUGUAACACCGUUAAAGAUGGACUGCUCCCUUCUGCAGAAUCCAUCAAACUCGAAAGGGAGUAUGAAGUGAAGCGUCUUUGUAAACUGAAAUGUCAAGAAAAUACAUCUGAGGAAAUUAAGCUUCUCCUGAGGGAAAGGCCAGCCGGUUUGAGAAGACCUCUUCCAUCUAAAUGACAGUCAGCUCAUGACUGAAUCUGUACUCUGUCUCUUGCAUCCAAAGGGGAUGAAGGUCUCUGGACGUUUCACUGUGUAAAGUUCGGGGCAGAUAUUUGAAUGCCCACUGGUGGAUGGGCCACUGCCCACAGCUGUGGGUUAAUGGCCAGCUCUGACAGAUCUUCUGAGUCCCUGACAUACUCUUGUUCCUUGUAUCACAAGCUACAGCACUCAUCAGUAUGACAACCUGUUCCACCGUGGCCGCCCUGGGAAUGAUGCCACUCUGCAUUUAUCUCUACGCCUGGUCCUGGAGUC